GCUCAGAUUGAACGCUGGCGGCAGGCCUAACACAUGCAAGUCGGACGGUAGCACAGAGGAGUUGCUCCUCGGGUGACGAGUGGCGGACGGGUGAGUAAUGUCUGGGGAUCUGCCCGAUAGAGGGGGAUAACCACUGGAAACGGUGGCUAAUACCGCAUAACGUCGCAAGACCAAAGAGGGGGACCUUCGGGCCUCUCACUAUCAGAUGAACCCAGAUGGGAUUAGCUAGUAGGCGGGGUAACGGCCCACCUAGGCGACGAUCCCUAGCUGGUCUGAGAGGAUGACCAGCCACACUGGAACUGAGACACGGUCCAGACUCCUACGGGAGGCAGCAGUGGGGAAUAUUGCACAAUGGGCGCAAGCCUGAUGCAGCCAUGCCGCGUGUAUGAAGAAGGCCUUCGGGUUGUAAAGUACUUUCAGCGGGGAGGAAGGCAGUGAGGUUAAUAACCUUACUGAUUGACGUUACCCGCAGAAGAAGCACCGGCUAACUCCGUGCCAGCAGCCGCGGUAAUACGGAGGGUGCAAG
rnacentral:rRNA from 1 species